rnacentral:rRNA from 1 species
UACGAAGGGGGCUAGCGUUGCUCGGAAUCACUGGGCGUAAAGCGCACGUAGGCGGGUUGUUAAGUCGGGGGUGAAAUCCUGGAGCUCAACUCCAGAACUGCCUUCGAUACUGGCGACCUUGAGUCCGGGAGAGGUGAGUGGAACUCCGAGUGUAGAGGUGAAAUUCGUAGAUAUUCGGAAGAACACCAGUGGCGAAGGCGGCUCACUGGCCCGGUACUGACGCUGAGGUG